rnacentral:rRNA from 1 species
CCUACGGGAGGCAGCAGUGGGGAAUAUUUGGCAAUGGAGGCAACUCUGACCCAGCAACGCCGCGUGCAUGAUGAAGGUCUUCGGAUUGUAAAGUUCUUUUCUAAGGGAAGAAGAAAGUGACGGUACCUGAGUAAGAAGCCCCGGCUAACUACGUGCCAGCAGCCGCGGUAAGACGUAGGGGGCAAGCGUUAUCCGGAUUUACUGGGUGUAAAGGGAGCGGAGGCGGUGCGCCAAGUCUGGAGGGAAAUGCCGCAGCUUAACUGCGGAACUGCUUUGGAAACUGGCGAACUAGAGUGCGGGAGGGGUAAGCGGAAUUCCUAGUGUAGCGGUGAAAUGCGUAGAUAUUAGGAGGAACACCGGUGGCGAAGGCGGCUUACUGGACCGUAACUGACGUUGAGGCUCGAAAGCGUGGGGAGCAAACAGGAUUAGAUACCCGUGUAGUC